AUUGAACGCUGGCGGCAGGCCUAACACAUGCAAGUCGAGCGGAUGAUGGGAGCUUGCUCCUGGAUUCGGCGGCGGACGGGUGAGUAAUGCCUAGGAAUCUGCCUGGUAGUGGGGGACAACGUUUCGAAAGGAACGCUAAUACCGUAUACGUCCUACGGGAGAAAGCAGGGGACCUUCGGGCCUUGCGCUAUCAGAUGAGCCUAGGUCGGAUUAGCUAGUAGGCGAGGUAAGGGCUCACCUAGGCGACGAUCCGUAACUGGUCUGAGAGGAUGAUCAGUCACACUGGAACUGAGACACGGUCCAGACUCCUACGGGAGGCAGCAGCGGGGAAUAUUGGACAAUGGGCGAAAGCCUGAUCCAGCCAUGCCGCGUGUGUGAAGAAGGUCUUCGGAUUGUAAAGCACUUUAAGUUGGGAGGAAGGGCAGUAAGUUAAUACCUUGCUGUUUUGACGUUACCGACAGAAUAAGCACCGGCUAACUUCGUGCCAGCAGCCGCAGUAACAC
rnacentral:rRNA from 1 species